rnacentral:rRNA from 1 species
AAUCAACGCUGGCGGCGUGCCUCAGACAUGCAAGUCGAACGAGAAAGUCCCCUUCGGGGGAGUAAGUAAAGUGGCGCACGGGUGAGUAACACGUAGGUAAUCUACCUUCGGGUGGGGAAGUAACCCACGGGAAACUUGGGCGUAACACCGCAUAAUGCAGCGGCACCACAUGGUGACAGUUGUUAAAGCGGGGGAGUUUUCGGUACCUCGCGCCUGAAGAGGAGCCUGCGGCGGAUUAGCUAGUUGGUAAGGAACGG